UACGUAGGGGGCAAGCGUUGUCCGGAAUCAUUGGGCGUAAAGCGCGUGUAGGCGGCCCGAUAAGUCCGCUGUGAAAGUCCAGGGCUCAACCCUGGGAUGCCGGUGGAUACUGUCGGGCUCGAGUCCGGAAGAGGCGAGUGGAAUUCCUGGUGUAGCGGUGAAAUGCGUAGAUAUUGGGAGGAACACCAAUGGCGAAGGCAGCUCGCUGGGACGGUACUGACGCUGAGGCGCGAAAGCGUGGGGAGCAAACAGG
rnacentral:rRNA from 1 species